UACGGGGGGGGCAAGCGUUGUUCGGAAUUACUGGGCGUAAAGGGCUCGUAGGCGGCUAACUAAGUCUGACGUGAAAUCCCCAGGCUUAACCUGGGAACUGCGUCGGAUACUGGAUGGCUUGAAUUCGGGAGAGGGAUGCAGAAUUCCAGGUGUAGCGGUGAAAUGCGUAGAUAUCUGGAGGAACACCGGUGGCGAAGGCGGCAUCCUGGACCGGCAUUGACGCUGAGGCGCGAAAGCCAGGGGAGCAAACGGG
rnacentral:rRNA from 1 species